AUUGAACGCUGGCGGCAGGCCUAACACAUGCAAGUCGAGCGAACGGCGGACGGGUGAGUAAUGUAUGGGGACUGCCCGAUAGAGGGGGAUAACUACUGGAAACGGUGGCUAAUACCGCAUACUGUAGGAGAACCAAUAUGGGAUUAGCUAGUAGUGAAGGUAAUGGCUUACCUAGGCGACGCUCCCUAGCUGGGCAGAGAGGAUGAUCAGCCACACUGGCACGGAGACACGGCCCAGACUCCGACGGAGGCAGCAGUGGGGAAUAUUGCACAAUGGGCGAAAGCCUGAUGCAGCCAUGCCUCGUGUAUGAAGAAGGCCCUAGGGUUGUAAAGUACUUUCAGUCGGGAGGCGGUACCGACAGAAGAAGCACCGGCUAACUCCGUGCCAGCAGCCGCGGUAAUAC
rnacentral:rRNA from 1 species